UUGACUGAGCGGCGGACGGGUGAGUAACGCGUGGGUAACCUGCCUCAUACAGGGGGAUAACAGUUAGAAAUGACCGCUAAUACCGCAUAAGACCACAGGGCCGCAUGGCCCGGUGGUAAAAACUCCGGUGGUAUGAGAUGGACCCGCGUCUGAUUAGCUGGUUGGUGGGGUAACGGCCUACCAAGGCGACGAUCAGUAGCCGACCUGAGAGGGUGACCGGCCACAUUGGGACUGAGACACGGCCCAAACUCCUACGGGAGGCAGCAG
rnacentral:rRNA from 1 species